UUGGAGUACUCACAUCUUUGUAUCUGUGGGAUUAAUAAUACAGGGUGUCGUGCCAGAUGAUGGCAGAGUGAUUGCGGUGAAGAAACUUCAGGAAAACGCACAGAUGCUGCCUGACAAGACAUUCAACAAUGAGGUUCAGAACAUUAGGGCAUUACCUUUAGCUUUUUCUACAUUUCCAUGUUUGGAGCUAGGACAUUUUGAUCUCCAAAUGCUAGUUUGACAUUUCACUAGCAAUUCUGAAAUACUCAUGCUAAAGAUUGCAGGAAAAUGCUUUUCUCUCUAUAGUUUGAGCCACAUCUAUAGUGUGAUCAUUUAAAUUCAGGUCAUGUACUCCUGGGAGUUGUCUGAAUUUUUUUGUUAGAACUUGGGAGUCGUACAUGACCUGUAGAACAUCUAAAGUUCCGUUAGAAGAUUCUGUAGUUCAAGGUUUGGUCUUCGGCCCUCUGUUUCUGCUAUCCGCUGAUCUUAAAUGUGUGUAGUUUGCUCCAUAGCAACUACACACACUGUCAAAACUAACAAGAUGUUAUACUGUUGUCAAAACUGAAAACUGAAAAGUGCCGUCAUUUUAACUGAAUUUCUCUGAAGACAUAAUUGCAGUGGCUAGUCCUGGAUAUUGGUGAGAAUCACAGUCUUGUGGUUGAAAUUCUACACAUGGUAAAAGUUCAGUGUAAAUGUUUGAAAUUUUGUUUGAAGCUUCAGUGUAAAUGUUCUAUUUUAAGAGUACAAGAUCACUGAAUACAGUUUCUUGGGGUCCUAUUUUUCAGUGUAAAUGUUCUAUUUUCAGUGUAAAAUUUUGUUUAGAAGGGCCCCUUAUUUUUUCAGAUUCUUCUAUGAUCAAUGCAGAGACUAAUGGAGAUAAUAGCUAGUGCAAAGGAGUCUAUUUGGAUAGUGGAAGGGGAAUCAGAUUGCCUCGGGGGACAAAUUUGACUAAGGCGGGCAUCAGCAGCGGCGAGGGAUGGGGUGGCAAAAGGCAGCGGUGGCGAGGGGCGGGGCUCGAUCAGGCGCCCGGUCGUCUCGCCGCUGGGCAGACCCGCGUGGCCCUGCCAGCCGAAGCAGCCAGAGAGAGGAGCGGCGGCCGCGGGCGCGAGGAAGCGGCCUGGGACGUGAGCAGCAGCACGCACUCCUGGUCCAGGCGAUCGACACCCAGGAUCACACAGAGCUCGAGGAGGACGACCUCAACCGGAUCACGGCGGGAGGCUCCGGCGACGCGCGGAAGGGAUCUUGGCAGGAGGGGAACGCGCGGAGGAGAUCGUGGCUGGAGGGGGACGCGCGGAGGUGCUCGUGGAAUGAGGGGAAUGCGCCAGCGCGGUUCCUCAGCGGCGGCGGAGCAGUUCCUGGACGGCGCACGUCCUGGCCGGCGUAGGUGAAGAAUCGUACGACGGCAUCCUUGGCGACGCGUGGAAUCGUGCAGGUGCAGGUGGGUGGCGGCGGUGGAAUCAGAGGCGUAGGUGGCGGGCGGCGGCGGAAUCAGAGGGGCAAGUGGGCUCGUGCUGGAGAACGGCGGCGAAAUCAGCUGGGCGACGCCUGCCCAGGCGAUGCGCGGGGACAACGGAGGAAGAAGAUGGAGACAUGGUUCUAUUUGAGACAGUUUGAAAACUCCAAGGGCAUUUUUGCAAAAACACUAGUACACUACGCGGUGGACAACUUUUUCCGGACGGAGAGAGUACAUAACACCACCGAGGGAGAACAAAUCAUCAGCUUCUAAAAAAGACAACAUCAGUGACGGAGCUACGUGCAAUGCUAAGGGGGCCACAAUGAGUACUAAAAUAUAAGUUUUUGGAGAGAUUUUACUAUGGAUCAUAUACGGAGCAAAAUGAGUGAAUUUAUACUCUAAAUGCAUCUAGAUACAUCCGUAUGGGGUCUAUAGUGAAAUCUCUACAAAGACUUAUAUUUAGGAAUGGAGGGAGUAGUAAGCUGAGUAGUUAUGGGUAUUUGUGUGCAGUGUUGUGCACGGUCUGCAUAUCACCACCCUUAUAGUAUCCAGUCCAACCCGCUGCGUAUACCGUGCAUUUCUGGCUGCAGCCUGCAGCGUCCGCCAGAUCCGCAAACAGGCAGUCGUGCGGAUUUGGAGUCCUUAUCACCAUGUUUGUACUUAUCAGGUUGUUGAAUCAAACCAUUCUGCAAGCACCGUUUCAGUAA